rnacentral:rRNA from 1 species
AAUCAACGCUGGCGGCGUGCCUAACACAUGCAAGUCGCACGAGAAAGGGGCUUCGGCCCUGAGUAAAGUGGCGCACGGGUGAGUAACACGUGACUAACCUACCCUCGAGUGGGGAAUAACCUAGAGAAAUCUGGGCUAAUACCGCAUAACACUUACGAGUCAAAGCAGCAAUGCGCUUGGGGAGGGGGUCGCGGCAGAUUAGCUAGUUGGUGAGGUAAUGGCUCACCAAGGCGAUGAUCUGUAUCCGGCCUGAGAGGGCGCACGGACACACUGGAACUGAAACACGGUCCAGACUCCUACGGGAGGCAGCAGUGGGGAAUUUUGCGCAAUGGGGGAAACCCUGACGCAGCAACGCCGCGUGGAGGAUGAAAUCCCUUGGGAUGU